GCCCCAGUGUCCAACUUGGCCUUGGGCACUGCCAGGGAUCCAGGGGCAGCCCCAGCUGCUCUGGGCACCCUGUGCCAGGGCCUGCCCACCCUCACAGGGAAGGAUUUCCUCCCAAAAUCCUCCCUGAGGAUGCCAAAGCCGUCUCAGCACCUCAAAGAGCAGGGUGAACCCUGUCUCUGCACGGCUUUCAGCUCUCCUGCCCUCUGAGGAUGGCUCAGGGCUGGCAGCCAGGGCUCUGUGGGCUCCAGCCCAUCCUCACCCUCAUCCCCACGGCCUCACGCUGGCAGGGCUCAGAGGUUUGGCCUCAGCCAUGACCUACAUGGAGCAGGCAGCUCCUCCUCAUCCUCCUGGCUGGCUGAGCCCUCCCAGCUGAUCCCAUCCUGUGUCCUGUGCUGCUUUCCAGGGCCUGAUUCCCAUUAACUCUUCCCUUCACUUCCAUUGCUGGCCCCUCCUCGAGCACAAGGCCAGCGCCUGGCAGAGCACCCAAGAUGUACAGAUCACAGAAUGACCCACCCAGAUCAGGGUGUGCUGUUCUCACCUAGACACAGGGCUGUCACAACCCCUCCAGCUCCUCUUCAGGCCAAUCCUCCCUCCAGGAGAUCUCUGCUGUCCAUGGCCACUGAGUGUCCCUGCAGGGCUGAUCCAAUUCCAGCAUCCCAUGGGGAGAUGCUCCGCCCAGG